rnacentral:lncRNA from 1 species
ACAAGCUUUUAACCAAUCCACUGUGUGAGAGCCUCAGAGGGAAACCCCUGAAGCCAUGAGAAGAUCAAGAGAUCCUGAGGCUACAGGGACCCUCUUCCAGCAAGGCCUGAUAGGAAGAUCACUUUGCAGAGCCCUGCAUGUGGAGUCAGGAGACAGUUUCAACUCCAAAGGUAGACACACCGUGAUAUCCUAUGAUGUGAGUUUUUUCAGAAAGCAAAGUGAACAUCCACAACGGGAGGCAGGCAGUCCAGCCCUGGAAGUGGACAGAAGCCACAGUGAUCAGAAGACCUCUGAGGUGAGGAAACAUCUUCGAAGUGCUAGAGUAGUUACCAGUCAGCAGGGAUAGCGCUCUUUCUUGUAGGAAAUGUUACAGGAACCUUCAGAGUUCACACAUGGGAAG